GGCAGGGGGGGAGGGGGGGUCCAUGGGCAGCAGUCCAGGCUGGCUACAGUGGGGAGUGCAGGAGGUGGUGGUUGGCCAGUGCCUCUCAUACCUGGUGCCCUGGGCCCUGUGGUGGGUGUGUUGCUCACUCGGGGCCUUGGUGUGGGGGGCCCUCUGCUGUUGCUGCCACCCGCCACAGGUGGUGCUCCUGAUGCCAGGCGGGCUCUGCCUGCUGCACCGCCUCCACCCUGGCCUCGAAGAAGAGCUCCCUCUGGGCCUCGCAGAUGUUAGAUUGACUAGUUUUGCUGAUGAUAUUGGUAGUUAUGGGAUGCGAGUUAGAUAGUUCAAAGUUAACCUUAAUGUUUCUACAUGAUACCUCAAUCAUGAUUUGUGGACUGAAACACAGACAUACGCAAAAAGAGACAGGGAAAGAAGCUCCAGCUACAGAUUUGGCAACCUGAACAUGGCUGUGAGAGAAGUCUAUUUGGGUUAGGUGCAGUCUGAAGACGCCUUAUGGUAGUCAGCAAGGAAACUACCUUCUGUUGUUUGAUUUCUCUUGGGCUUUGGGAACAGUAGUUGUACAUUCUUAGUAAAUGUACAAGAUUGCAUCAAAGUAGUACCCAGUUUCUCCUAAUUGGAGCAAUCUGAAAACCCUGAACUUUGGCUAGUUGCUUGGAUCAAAAGGAAUAACUCUGCUGUUAUUUUAUUGGUUUCUGGAAUCCCAUUGUCUCCACUUAAAUCAGCCAAAGUUUUUGUACAUUUAAUCCUACCCCCCCGCCCCCAAAUUUACCAGAUACUGCCCAUAAACCUGAGAUGUUCCUUUAUUGCAGGUAACUGUUUGUAUCUUUUUCCCCAGUUCCCCCUUUUCAAAUUGCAGCUUUGUCCCACUGAAACAAGGUCAGCUGCAUGUCAUGGAAAAGAGAGCUACAAGAGCAAAGAUGGAAUGUUUUACAUUGUGUGGAAAAGUAUAUUUGUGUGCAAAGAGACAAUAAUUUCUGCAUUGACUUAAGGAAAAGAGAGCAGGAGAGAGCAGCAAUGCAGUAUGCGCACUCUUGCUUCAUUCUAUCAGUCUAAUUGCUGUUAUAGAAUGCUUCUUCCCCUGGAAAUGUUACUGACUGUUGCCUUUGAAACCUUCAUAUCAUUUCCUUAUCAAACCUUGUAUCAUAUUCCAUUAAAGUGAAUGAGACUUCUUUGUUUUUUAAAGCUCCUUUUUCUCUCACUGAUAUCAGACUUUGAAAGUUAGAUGCAAGUCAGUGACAUAUUUGCAGUCCCUUGAGCAAUGUGCCCUUCAGCACUCAAACUGAUUCUACAAUUCCAGGGCGAAUCAGAGCUUGACCUACCGCCAUGCCCUCUGCAUAGUAUCAGGGCUGUGAAUGGAUUGUGCAGACUUUGAGUUUUGUUUUGAUCCUGUUGCCACUGAGCACUUUGCCAUCCUUCACCAUCCUCCUGCUCUACUCAGCAUUGGUGAGGCCACAGCUGGAGUACUGUAUCCAGUUCUGGUCUCUGCACUUCUAGAAGGAUGUAGAGAAGCUGGAAAGAGUCCAAAGGAGGGUCACAUGAAUGACUAGGAGUCUGGAGAACAGACCAUAUGAGGAGAGGCUGCAGGACAUGAGACUGUUCAGCCUGGAAAAGAGAAGACUCGGGAGGGACUUGGUGGCAGCCUUUAAGUAUAUAAGGUGGGGUGAACAUCAGGGGCUCGGAGAACAUCUGCUCACCAAGGGACCCCAGGGGAAGACUAGGAUUAAUGGUCAUAAACUGAUUGAAGAUGGCUUCAGAUUAGACAUAAGAAAAAACUUCUUUACAGUUCGUGUGUUCAGAGUGCGGAACAGACACUGCCUAGUAGUAGUACAGUCACCUUCCCUGAAGAUCUUUCAAAGAUGUCUGGACUCGCACCUCGCUGAAGUCAUCGGACCUUAGUAGUCUUUUUUGCCUUCCAGGAGGGGGGCUGGACCUGAUGGUCUCGUGAGGUCCCUUCCAGCCCCUAACUUCUAUGAAUCUAUGAAUCAAUUUGGAUAGAAGUGCAAUUAGGUUCUUAAUGGCCUCCUUUGUGAGGUUAGGUUUAUUAACCGCCCAAGAAAAAUGGCAUUAGCUAUUUCUCCUUGAACUUGCUUGUUCUUAGAGUUUACUUCUGGACCCUGAUCUUCCUAAUUGGCUGGAGGGCUGCACCCAGAGAGUGGUGGUGGACGGGUCAUUUUUGACCUGGAGAGAUGUGGGCAGUGGGGUUCCCCAGGGCUCAGUCCUCUGGCCCGCACUGUUCAAUAUCUUCAUUGGCGAUUUGGACGAGGGGGUGAAAAGCACCUUGUUCAAGUUUGCAGAUGACGCUAUGAUGUGGGGAGAAGUGAGCACGCUAGAAGAGAGGGACAGGCUACAACUAGAUCUCGACAGGUUACAGAGGUGAGUGGAUGAAAAUAGGAUGGGUUUCAAUAUGGAUAAGUGCAAGGUACUGCACCUGGGGAGGAAGAACCAGCAGCAUACCUACAGGCUGGGGAACUCCCCUGUCGUCAGCACAGGCUGAGAAGGAUCUUGGAAUCACUAUUGAUUCCAAGAUGAACAUGGGCCGCCAGUGUGGGGACGCGGUCAGGAAGGCUAACUGCACUUUGUCAUGCAUCAUGAGCAGGUCCAAGGGAUGUCUUGGCGCAAGGUCCCAGGGAAAGUCUUUGAGAGAGAGCUGUGUGCUGAACCUAAUCUACUAGACAGUUCUUCCUCUCUACAAUUGGAAUAUAUAUAUGGAAAAAUAUAGAAAUGAUGGUUCUUAUUUAAAGUUCCUUUAGGCUAGUAGGGGUUACCUUUUUGGCAGACGUUCUGCAAAUUAGCCCCACACCUUCCCCAGGGGAGCAGAUGGAAUUGACAAUUUUCACCCUAUCUGGCCACAGAAAGCAGUUUAUAGCUGUGAUCAAACACAAGUGCAAGGCUGCAGACUAUUUUAAAACUGGCCGAUUGGGUGAAAGUCUGAACCUGCAUUGCAUAAGAGGUCAGAUGAAAAAGUUUCAAAAUAGAGCAUCUUUUUUGAAACUUCUGUCUGUGUUGCCUGCCAACCUGUUGCUGGUUUCAGAAUGGGACGGGAAAAGGGAGUGGAGGGAGCUUCGUCUGUGGGUGGUUUUCAGUCCCCGCUGGAGGGUGGGGCAGCUCCAAUUCACCCAUCCACCCUCCAGUGAUGGCUGGGGAACCCCUAGGAGUUCCCUCUGCUCCCUUUCCCCCCUCCCAUUUUGAAAGGGACAGGCUGGGAGAGAGUAGGGGCUGUUGGUAGGGGAAGCCAGCUGCAGGCUGGCAGCCAGCAGGUAGAUUCCCUUUGCCCCUCAUACCUACAGUGAGCUUCUGUUUGGUCUGGGGGAUCAUUGUAACUCUGCUUCCUGCAAAGCCUUCUCCGUUACAGUGGAGUUCUGCCUGUGCCCCAGGUGCCACUCUCAUCCCCUGCCCUAUUGGCUGCUCUGCUUUGUGUUCCCUGCCCUGUGCUCCUACCCAAUCUGCUGCUCUGCUUUAUGCUCCCUGUCCUGUGCUCCCUGCCUUAUUUGCUGCUUUGCUUUCUGUUCCCUACCUGGGUCUGCCACUGGGUUAGCUGUCUCCUCCCAUUUACUGCAUGCCGCUUGUGGCACCCAUGCUUCAGGUUGGCCACCUCUGUUUUAGGCAGUAAGAAGAACAGCUUGUAAUAAGACAUUGUGAAGGAUAGUGGUGAUCUUACUGCCAGCUACUAUGAGGAAUCGGAAAGCUUUAACGUUAUUUCCCUGGAUUGUAUCCUUAUUUAUCUAUAAAUAUUAUAAUUUUGAAUUCCAGGAGGGGAAAGAAAAAGCCUGAGUUUAGAUAGCAGAGGGAAUAGUUAUGCUGAACUUAUACAACAUUAUGCCUAACUAUUUUGUUUCUCACUCAAAUUUACAUUUACUGAAUACAUUUGCUGAAAUAAAUAGCCAGUCUCCUUUGAGAGCAAAGCUGGAACUGAAUAAAUGUAAAGGCUCCACUGUACUAACAAAAGAACCAAAAUCUAAAGUAAUGUAGACACAUGGUCUAAAUAAUGGAAAUGAGAACUUCAGAGAAGAAAUAGAAAUGUAGGUAACAAAAGAAAGAACUGAUAUAUUUGUAUAGGUUUAUAAACUCCUAGUUUUGUGGUUUGAAUUUUUUGAUGUUGUUGCCUUACUAGUGUAUUUUUCUUGGUAUUUCUCUGAUUCCUUUCCUCCCAUAUAAUGUAUCUUUUUUUUGGUGAUGAGGGGAGGGAUUUUUAUUCUUGUGUUCACAACGGUGGGUGAAAAAAAGGAUUGUAAAUACAAGAGUCCAGUUGCCCUUUGGAUGGAAAAACCUGCAGAAGAUGAGGAGACGGGAGAAAGUGUCUGCAAAGAAUCCAGCUCUGGGAAAGGAUUUCUCAUUAUAAGAUUAAACCAGGAGGCCAGUUGAGCCCCCUGCCCAAUAUUCCUUGAGAGGUGUGCAAAUGGAAAGAGACCACUAAAGGCAGUGGUCCAUCUGCUCUGAAGAUCUGUGCUUUCAUGAUGGCUGGAAGUACAGGGAGGAGGAAACUGGAGUGGAGGAGACUAAACUUUUGUAGGAUCUGGGACAAUAGAACUCUUAAGAAUAAAGAAUGACCACACACCUGA